rnacentral:rRNA from 1 species
AGAGUUUGUUCCUGGCUCAGGAUGAACGCUAGCGACAGGCUUAACACAUGCAAGUCGAGGGGCAGCAUGAUUUGUAGCAAUACAGAUUGAUGGCGACCGGCGCACGGGUGAGUAACGCGUAUGCAACUUACCUAUCAGAGGGGGAUAGCCCGGCGAAAGUCGGAUUAAUACCCCAUAAAACAGGGGUCCCGCAUGGGAAUAUUUGUUAAAGAUUCAUCGCUGAUAGAUAGGCAUGCGUUCCAUUAGGCAGUUGGCGGGGUAACGGCCCACCAAACCGACGAUGGAUAGGGGUUCUGAGAGGAAGGUCCCCCACAUUGGUACUGAGACACGGACCAAACUCCUACGGGAGGCAGCAGUGAGGAAUAUUGGUCAAUGGCCGAGAGGCUGAACCAGCCAAGUCGCGUGAAGGAAGAAGGAUCUAUGGUUUGUAAACUUCUUUUAUAGGGGAAUAAAGUGGAGGACGUGUCCUUUUUUGUAUGUACCCUAUGAAUAAGCAUCGGCUAACUCCGUGCCAGCAGCCGCGGUAAUACGGAGGAUGCGAGCGUUAUCCGGAUUUAUUGGGUUUAAAGGGUGCGUAGGUGGUGAUUUAAGUCAGCGGUGAAAGUUUGUGGCUCAACCAUAAAAUUGCCGUUGAAACUGGGUUACUUGAGUGUGUUUGAGGUAGGCGGAAUGCGUGGUGUAGCGGUGAAAUGCAUAGAUAUCACGCAGAACUCCGAUUGCGAAGGCAGCUUACUAAACCAUAACUGACACUGAAGCACGAAAGCGUGGGGAUCAAACAGGAUUAGAUACCCUGGUAGUCCACGCAGUAAACGAUGAUUACUAGGAGUUUGCGAUACAAUGUAAGCUCUACAGCGAAAGCGUUAAGUAAUCCACCUGGGGAGUACGCCGGCAACGGUGAAACUCAAAGGAAUUGACGGGGGCCCGCACAAGCGGAGGAACAUGUGGUUUAAUUCGAUGAUACGCGAGGAACCUUACCCGGGCUUAAAUUGCAGAUGAAUUACGGUGAAAGCCGUAAGCCGCAAGGCAUCUGUGAAGGUGCUGCAUGGUUGUCGUCAGCUCGUGCCGUGAGGUGUCGGCUUAAGUGCCAUAACGAGCGCAACCCUUGUUGUCAGUUACUAACAGGUUUCGCUGAGGACUCUGACAAGACUGCCAUCGUAAGAUGUGAGGAAGGUGGGGAUGACGUCAAAUCAGCACGGCCCUUACGUCCGGGGCAACACACGUGUUACAAUGGGGGGUACAGAGGGCUGCUACCACGCAAGUGGAUGCCAAUCCCAAAAACCUCUCUCAGUUCGGAUUGAAGUCUGCAACCCGACUUCAUGAAGCUGGAUUCGCUAGUAAUCGCGCAUCAGCCACGGCGCGGUGAAUACGUUCCCGGGCCUUGCACUCACCGCCCGUCA